GGCGGUAAUAGCGGCAGGGAAACGCCCGGACCCAUCCCGAACCCGGAAGCUAAGCCUGCCAGCGCCGAUGAUACUG
rnacentral:rRNA from 1 species